UCUCUCACAACUCACAUCUCACAAACUUUAUCAGACUCUUUCUCUCUCUUUCUCCCAGAUCUAGAUCGGAAGUGUUUGAACCACCGGUGGAGGAGACUAGGGUUUCGUCUUCCGUGAUGAAAGAUGUCUGGAGUGCUGAUGGUUUGAGAUGAAAUCAGAUGAUGAACAACCUGUGAUGAAGAACAAACAUCAAUGAAAUCGAAAACACACAGGGUUGAACACGGAUUUGAAGAAACCCUAACUGAAGGUUUUGUCCGGUCAUCUCUGUUGUGGUUUCUUUCGGCUUUCUUCCACAUCAACGAUUAACAAACACAAAGCAGGUUUAAUGGUGGCAUGUUUGUGCUGGUUCAACAAAGCCAGAAAGCGGAGGCGACGGCUAGGGUUUCGAUUAGUGAUCUCGGUCUGAUGUUCUUCACGAUAGAGAUGCACUCGAGAUGGUAAAGAUGGAAUUCCAGCAUUGAUUGGGGUUACAUGUGUGCUUGAUUUGGGAUCCGCGUUUGAGUUUAGUUCUGGCUGGAAUCCGAGUCGAUCGUUUCACAACUACUAUGGCGUCUUCUAGGGUUUCAUCAAAAGUCCAAAUCAAGAAAAUCCGUUGGGUCCAUCACUAAAGGGUAUUAAGGUGGCUGGCUGAGGUGGUUCCAGGUCAUGGUAGCGAUUGUCGGUGGCGGAGACUAACUCUGGCUGUGAGACCACGACCACAUGGGUUUAUGAUGGUGAAAAUAGAUUUUUAUCAAAAUACAUUAACCAUUUAUAAAAAACAGACAUAAUGUUUGGUGUUGCGGUUGUGUAUUUUUAAGAGCGGUGAACUGUAACUAAAGAAUUAGUGAUUAGAAACUAUGAGAUGGUGGUGGUCUGUGGCUCCUGGUUAGCGAAAACAACCACUAUCUAGGGUAUCAUUGGUUUGAUAGUCGCCUUCUAUGUUUUCGCAGGUUUGAUUCUGACAGAUAGAUUCAUUUUCGUACAGAUACGUGAAGGCUUUCACGAGAUUAGGAGUUCAAUAUGUGAUGCUAUUUUUAUUGCUCAGCUCCUCAAUGCUACACUUGUGAUUCCCGAGAUUCAGUCACCCACAAGCAGCAAGGGAAGCAGUGCUCAGUUUAAGAGUUUUCCUUACCUUUAGAACGAGGAUCAUUUCAUGGAAGCAUUAGUAAAUGAUAUCAGAGUAGUAGAGACGCUUCCCAAAAAGCCUCAAAGGAGCUAGAAGAAAGAAAGAAAUCCCUUCGUCUAGAGUCGUCAACUUUGGGAAAUUGAUAGAGACUGUUUACAGAAUCGGACUCAAGGCAGCACUGUUUAUGGCUUUCAAGGUGGCCCUGCUGGGAUUUUCAACUCUAAAUAUCUUAUCUUGACUCAUGAAUUUGUCUAUCCUUAUAGAAAUCAGGUGAUGUUGCAUGGAUAAUACAAUUCUUCUUAACACUUUCUUUUUUUCUUUUUUUGUAAUUCCCUAACUACAUCAUCAUCAUCUAUGGUGGCUUUGAUAUUAUCUGUAGUGGAAGAGAAAAGAUUGAAACACCUCAGCAGUUUCACCAAGCUCGGGAAACGGCCAAGAUGCUUGAUUUGGAUGGAAUUGUAGUCAUUGGUGGUGAUGACUCAAAUACAAAUGCUUGCCUGCUAGCAGAAAACUUUAGGUCUGUUAUAUUUUGUUUCUUGCCUUAAGUCACAUCAGCAAAUCGAAACUGAAAAGAUGCUCAUUCAAAUCUUGCUUAACGAUUGUUUGGGCUAGAAUACACAUUGGUAUUCUUAGAAGUGAUAGACCGGAGAACAGACUUGUAAUAGAGAGCUGGCUUUGUACAUUUAUUUUAAUGACUUGGGAGAUAAACUAAAAUUGAAAUGGUAUUAUGGUGGGCAUACUUUUCAGUAUAUUUAUAUCAAAUACAUAAAAAAUGAUUGAUUCAUUGUGUGCC